rnacentral:rRNA from 1 species
GAUGAACGCUGGCGGCGUGCCUAAUACAUGCAAGUCGAGCGAACAGACGAGGAGCUUGCUCCUCUGACGUUAGCGGCGGACGGGUGAGUAACACGUGGAUAACCUACCUAUAAGACUGGGAUAACUUCGGGAAACCGGAGCUAAUACCGGAUAAUAUAUUGAACCGCAUGGUUCAAUAGUGAAAGACGGUUUUGCUGUCACUUAUAGAUGGAUCCGCGCCGCAUUAGCUAGUUGGUAAGGUAACGGCUUACCAAGGCAACGAUGCGUAGCCGACCUGAGAGGGGGAUCGGCCACACUGGAACUGAGACACGGUCCAGACUACUACGGGAGGCAGCAGUAGGGAAUCUUCCGCAAUGGGCGAAAGCCUGACGGAGCAACGCCGCGUGAGUGAUGAAGGUCUUCGGAUCGUAAAACUCUGUUAUUAGGGAAGAACAAAUGUGUAAGUAACUAUGCACGUCUUGACGGUACCUAAUCAGAAAGCCACGGCUAACUACGUG